GGGGAUAUGGCCCAGUGGUAGAGCAUUUGUCUGGCAUGCAAGAGGCCCUGGGUUCAAAUUCCAGCACCA
rnacentral:tRNA from 1 species